rnacentral:misc_RNA from 1 species
AAGUCGUAACAAGGUUUCCGUAGUGGAAACUGCGGAAGGAUCAUUAAAGAAAAAGGGGCGUGAGUGCCAUGGCUGUGCAUGUAUCCCAUGCACAUGGCAUGUGCACACAUGCCAAUACUUUUCUCUCUAUUUAUACACCUGUGUUGUUGACUGUACGAAACACACACACACAUCAGUGUUUCCUUUCACACUUUCUGUGGAUGGAUGUAUGGGUGUUCUGAUGAUGCUUUGGGCAAGGGAGGAGGAAGGAUCAUCUUUUCUCUCUCUUUGCCCAACAUCAUGGUUCAUCCACCCACACUUACACAGAGGGUGGAGAGUGAUUCGCUGAGGAGUGGGUGGACAAACUCCUCUUCUUUAAACACACCAUCUGAAACCCAAGCAAUUGUAAAAUACACAAUACAACUGCUAGCAAUGGAUCACUUGGUUCCC